rnacentral:lncRNA from 12 species
CCGACGGUUAGGCCAGGCGUUCUGCAGGGCAAGAGCUCUCAGUCCCCGCGCAACUAGUCCUCUUGUUGCCUCAGAUAAGCCAAGGCAAGAUAAGGCAAGAAGGGGAAGCAAGACACGUAGCAGCUUCUCACACCACAGGGCAGAAGAACAGGAUCCACUGACAGACAUCAUCAUAUAAAUCUUCAAGGUAUACAAGUGACUUCACAGUCUAUGGAGAUUAUGUGAACCUACACCUGUGUCUAGAGAAACUACCAGUGGUGCAAUCAAGAUGUGCAGUCAAGUGAGAAAACCCAACGUUGCAAAGAGCAAAGGCAGAAAAGCACAAGAUAAGUAGAACAACUCAAUACUUAGCAAGAUGAGAGAGCUAAUAAAACAGAAGGAAAACAAAGCAAUUCAAAAAUCUUAACAUUCAGCAGCUAUAAGCUGAGAAAGCACAUCAGACAAGUGACAGGUUUAAACAUAAACAUAUGUGUAUGCCCAGGAGUGGAGCAGAAAUCCACUCUGGU